rnacentral:lncRNA from 1 species
CAGAAAUGUAUUUGAGAUGAAUAGGUAUUCUUCAAACCCUUCAAAGACCUACAGAAAUAUGGCAUUUAAAUGGUUUAGGAUUUAUCGUGGCAGUGAGACACAACUGCUCCUGGCAUACCAAUUAUGUCAGAAAGGAGGAUGGACAUCGAAGAAACUCGUUAUGGAGUUUGCUUUCAGCAUGGCAAGAUUAGCCAUUUGGACAAGAAACUGCUCUUGCCUGGACUGUUUGUUGCUGUAUAAACUGGACAUACAGGACACACAAGAAAGUGACUGCUGAACUUACAAAACAAGACAGUACUAAAGGUUUCCUGUUGAAAUGGAGAAGUGUGCCACACACACUGUGGCCUAUGGGCUGAAGAUGGAUGCCCCAACGUUACAGAGGAACUUUGGGUGACUGUCCAGAUAAAUUUAAACACUUGCCCAAGACCACAUCCAAAGGAGAAAAUGUCCUAAAGUGAAUCCUCAGGCUGAAUGCAUCCUCAGACUGCCUGCCUAGACUGCUGCCUCAGACUGACUACCUAGACUGCUAGACUGUCCUGAGCUCUCUCUGCCCAGCCAUAUCCCUUCCUG